CCGAGUGUGAACCCCCUCAUAAAAAGGGGGGUUACCUCCCGUCCUUUGCUAGGCACCCCCUCCAGUUGGAUGGGGGUUGUUUUUCAAACCCUUUUGCUUCGGCGAGGUAACUCGCCGGAACAACCUCAAAAUAUUCUCUGUUAAAACAGUUCAGUCCGAGGAAUAUUUUUGAAAAGCGAA
rnacentral:misc_RNA from 1 species